rnacentral:rRNA from 1 species
AACGAACGCUGGCGGCAGGCCUAACACAUGCAAGUCGAGCGUGAUUUAUGAGGACGAAACUUCGGUCUAGGAAUCAUAAUGAAAGCGGCGGACGGGUGAGUAACGCGUAGGCAACCUGCCCUUGACACAGGGAUAGCCUCGGGAAACCGGGAUUAAAACCUGAUGACGCCAAACAGUCACAUGGCUGUUUGGCCAAAGAUUUAUCGGUCAAGGAUGGGCCUGCGUCUGAUUAGUUAGUUGGUGGGGUAACGGCCUACCAAGACGACGAUCAGUAGACGACCUGAGGGGGUGAUCGGCCACAGUGGAACUGAGACACGGUCCAAACUCCUACGGGAGGCAGCGGUGGGGAAUAUUGCACAAUGGGCGAAAGCCUGAUGCAGCAACGCCGCGUGAGCGAUGAAGGCCUUUGGGUCGUAAAGCUCUGUCCUUGGGGAAGAAACAAAUGACGGUACCCAAGGAGGAAGCCCCGGCUAACUACGUGCCAGCCGCCGCGGUAAGAC